GUGCCCAUUUUGGCAGCAUAUAUGCUAAAAUUGGAAUGCUAGAGAAGAUUAGCAUGGCCCCAGCACAAAGAUGCUAUGCAGAUUCGUGAAGCAUUCCAUAUUUUU